rnacentral:tRNA from 1 species
AAGAAAUUAGUUUAAAUAAAACAUUUGCUUGUCAAGUAAAAAAUACAAAUUUGUAUAUCUUG